UUCAGAAUAGUAUCCGAGUAGACACUUUGCCACACUCGUCCUGACAAUAAUGCCCUGCUAUUACCAAGCUUGUAUUAAACACUUGAAAGGCUUUUAUACACUUAACAGCAAAUAAUAUAACAAGUGGUGCUCUGACCAUCCUUCAGAAUUGUCCUAGAAAGAUGCGUGUUUCGACUAAAGUGACGGUUAAGGUGGGAAGAAUGUGCAAACGAGAGAAUACACUAAAGACGAGGAAGAAGAAGAAGGAAAAAGAAAUCCAUUCCUUCUCUUAAAAACCUUCUUGCGUUUGGAGACCAAAAGUAGUCAGACAGCCGACACUUGAGCUUAGGCAAAAUAUCAGCACUCAGGUUACCACAUUUUACGUGGACGGAUUUCAGUUUGAAAAGCUUUCUCUAGAAACUAUUAUGGAUGCCAGAAGCUGCUUCGUGCGAUAGCUCGGAAUUUUUUAUCGUCGGAGAUAUUCCUUGUGACAGAGGUAGAGUGAAAAUGAUGCAUGGAAAUGAUAGUGAGGUUUCGCAAGCCGCGAUAGACUCGAGAAAGAAAAGUGUGCUUGGACGAAGUUGGUGGUAUCUACAGAGAUAAUGGCGUGUUUAUAUGAAGAAACGCACACGUGAAAAUGGGUAUAGAGGAGCAUGGCAGUAGCGUAAGCGUGAAGAUGAAGAAGCAAUUAUUCUAAUGGAGGCUUUGGGAGGAUUGUGGCUGAGACAAGUGAGGAGUCCAGGACACUAUUCCAGUAGAGGAGCCAAUCGCGGUUUUAUAAGGAGAUGGUGCGACAGUAGCAUUAGGAAACCAGACAUAGAGCUGAACCCGCGUUAACUUACGGCUGGUAAGUAAGAAAAAGACACAGCCAAAUGAAUUUGAGCGUUCAGUAAUACCCUCGUGGAUGAUUCGCCAAGUGAAGAUACAGCUGCACUACUUUAUAUUGCCAUUCUUCGCGACGACGGACCGCAAUUUCUGCGUCUGGAUAAAAUCGGAAGUAAUCACGACAAGUGGGGACCCUCAGGGAAGAGCGAAGAGACAUGCCCUGGGUGCAUCGUAUCAAAGCUCGUACAACACUGUACCAAGCGGCUGACGAUGCACUUAGCAAUAUUAGUAAAGCCUAUACAUAGAACCGAGGAUACACCUCUUCUCGAGGAUGCUUUUAAACUUUUCAUUCAUAUCGACAUAACGUUCUGCAAUAAUACAUACAAACAGACCAUUAUAAUUGGUUCAUUGAAAUACCAUACCAGAAACCCAAGAUGGCUGCCAUACUUGAUUCAACUAUUAAUAGCUCUUGCUUAUACAAACUUAUGAAGUUCUACUAAAAAUAUUCAUCGAUUAAUAUUUAAUUCAUCUACCUCCAGUUACUUAAACAUCUUCAGAAUCUCGUUAAUUAAGAAAAAAUCCAUUAUCAAAAUACUCGACAGUUUACCAUAAGUUCAAGGGGGUCUUCGUCGCUCCAGGUAGUUACAUAGAAUUAAACUAGUUAGAGACUCCAGAGAUCUCUCCCACAGUGUCAUGUAGUAAUCACAUUUGAUAUUUGACCGGGCUAUAAAGUUUCAAUGUACUCUUCCCUCAGUGUAGAAUGCCAUUAUGCUCUCGAGAUCCCACCCUAUUAGAAUAAUGACCGCUUUGUCAAACUGGAACCUAAGGACCGACGAAGGGGUGCUCUGGGAGGAGGAGAGAGAGAGAGAGAGGAGAGGAGGGUGAACCGACUAAGAAUCUUACAGCGUGUUACACACCAAAUGCAAAUGCUCAUUCAUUGUCCUUGGCGGUGAGUCUUGAGCCCUGUAUUAAUUUGCAGACCCUCUCUCCCUCUCCCCCCACCCCGAUCCCUCCCGCUUUCCGGCCGUCGGUUUUACCAACCCAGUACGGAUCUUUGCUCUUUUUUUGUCUUCCUUCAGUUCAAGUUCCUUCGGGGCGAACUCGACGGCUCGAAUAAAUAAAGUCUUUCUCUCGCGGCUUCGCGAAGCUCCGGACGCGAGAAAAUGCUUUUGAACUUACUGGCCAAUUUUUCGCUACCUUAACGCCUUACGAUACUCUACUGUAUACGCGCAUUUAACGAUCCAGAUGGUACUUUAUGUACUUUGCGCCUUCUGGAGUCUCGCGAUUCUCGAGGAUGUUUAUGAUUAAAGAGCGGCGUAGUUGGGUCUUUGAUAUAAUUAAACGAGUAUGCGGAAGUGGCAUUUGGAAGCGCGAGAGAGAGAGAGAAGGCAUGUAGAGAGAACUUUGAGCCUGUGAUUGCAGAGUUUUAAAGGGUAAAUCUAAAUUGCCAAGUUUCAUUUUAAGGUGAUAAUUAUAUCUCCGAGUUACCUAAUUAUACGUAUCUCGAUUGAGAGUAAUUUAAUGAAAGGAUGAUUUUUUAAUGUCAAUAGGAGGUAACUAUAGUCUGCCGCAAUAUAGUUUCGAGUGGCAAACUUCUUUGGGAAUCCCGAGAACGAGUCCUUGCAUUGCUGAAUCGUACUUGAGCCGGUGCUUUAAAGUUUGAACCCCCUCACUGGUUCUACUAUCACCGCACACAAUUUAUUGAUUGACUAUUCGAUUGGCCUAUGGUAUUCAUACUACCCAAGAUAUUAUCACAAUUUGAAUGGCAACCAAUGGGAAUACGUAAGAGAUAAGUAUAAGCGAAACUGCGACGAGUCUGAACUUCUUCCAUGAGCUUCUUUGGAAUUCAGUGCGGCUCCUGGAGAUUAAUAUUGACAGAUUUUGCUUGUUCUGGACCAAGUCGCAUCUUCGCUUGGGAAAUGUAAUUAUAAAAGUCUGCUGCGGCACGCCGACGUCGACGCUGAGGAUAAAUCAACAGGCUGGAUGAAUAAAUUAAUCGAGCCGCUCGGUCCAGACAAAUCCUGGAACCUCCUUCAGUUCCAUCCUUUUCGUCAUUGGUUUCGUCGAGAAGAGUCCCCUUGGUUUUUUCGCUUCUUGUCUUUCCAUUCGAAAAAGAAACUAAAAGCAUUAGUAUUGUCUCCAGCAAUUUUUCUACAAUUUUACAAGUCUUGGGAGCGUGCAGUCUUACGGUACGACAGUCACGUAGAUGGUGUUGCUGUGAAGUAUUUAUAAGAAAUAAGAAAAAACUGUGAAAGUGCUCGAGACGCCCCGAGGACCCAUAGUAAAUUGCAUCUGGGAAAGAAUGAACCGUGAGGCCGUUUGUCAUGCAAAAUGCAUUGAUAUUGGUGAGAGAGACAGGAUAUGAGGGUAAUUUUAAAAAUAAAUGAUCAUCCUUGUAAUUUAUCUGAAACGCGUGGAGAGGCUGAUUCGAACCACGUGAAGUGUAACGUGGUAGUGUAGUAGGUAAUAGACAUUAGUGGGUCGGGGCCUGAGAAAUACCAUGACUAGCAAGAAGUCUUGGCUUAAUUACAUGAAUAAUUAAAUAAAACAAAUAAAAAGCAA